UACGUAGGGGGCAAGCGUUGUCCGGAAUUAUUGGGCGUAAAGAGCGUGUAGGCGGUCCGGUAAGUCAGCUGUGAAAGUCAAGGGCUCAACCCUUGAAAGCCGGUUGAUACUGUCGGGCUAGAGUCCGGAAGAGGCGAGUGGAAUUCCCGGUGUAGCGGUGAAAUGCGUAGAUAUGCGGAGGAACACCGAUGGCGAAGGCAGCACUCUGGGCCGGCACUGACGCUGAGGAGCGAAAGCGUGGGGAGCGAACAGG
rnacentral:rRNA from 1 species